rnacentral:sRNA from 1 species
GGUAAGAAACAAGGGGAUUUCAAAAAUUUUCCAACUUUUGUACUUUGGCAAGGAACCUGGUUUACACAUCAACCUGACAAUAGUUCAAUACUGUGUACCUAACCUAGUUGACAACUAUUCAUGAGUACAUGUAUAUAUGAUAAAUCACAUCCCUGAGACAUCCUGCCGCAUGAACUGGCCAGCAGCUCCCAGUAGAGAACAUAAAUAGCAUUGCAAGAGACAUAGGGCUCGAAUAAGAUAUGCAAAUAAGAUUGCUUUUAGGAUUUGCUGUCUCCAUAAAUUGCCAGCAUAAGUGUAUCUAUUGUGUUCUACUCACAAUUCCCAUUAGGCUUCCUAGGUAAGAUAACUUUUGCUGAAUAACUGUAGACCAGUAAGUUUUCCGUCUUCAAUUGCAGCACACUGACAGCAUGUGCAAAGAUGUUGAUCACAUAAACGUUAAAAGUUUACCUUUGCUUUUUUGUGGCUUCCAAUGAGGAGCAGCUUAUCUUCAAUAAGUGCACUAGUUAUUACCACCUGAAGGAUCAUGACAAUCAAACAAGUAAAUAAACUAGUGACUGCACAGGGGGAUCAUAUGACCCAAAACACUGAAUACUUCUCUUGGUUUAACUAUCAAUCAGAUAAGGGUCAAACCUUUCGCGGUCCAGCACUAUGUAGCGCAUUGCAAGCUUUCAAGCCAUCUUCUUCACAGGUAAUCCUAUCCACUAUAAAUAAUUAGCUCCCUGGUACUAGGUGACAAAUAAUAUAGAAGUCACAGAACGAGACUGGAUUUUCCCAUAAAAAUGGACCUUUCAGACCAAAUCAGCAGUAAGCAUAUUGACAAGCUUUGCUUCUGAAAAGAAUUUGUGUGAUAAUUGUGCUAAGAUAACUAGAUAAGUUUUUGUGGUAUAUGAACAUAACAAAGAAUUACUUGUUUUCUUUUUUACCAAAAGAAGAGCAUGACUACCUUAAACCAGUGAGUAGUUCAACUUCAAAUUGGUUAGGUGUAAGCAUUGUAGCAACUGGGACAACCUAAGGAUGAUUAGAUCACAAAAUGAAUGUAUUAGGAUAAGUAAUCAUAUAUGGGGGCAUGUGCAAGAAUUAGAGCAUGCUUAAGAAUCAUGAGAAAUAAAAUAACAUAUUUGAAAUGACAGACUCUGGCCUAGAGUUUUUCACUUGAUAACUAGAUCAGCAAAAGUGAACACAAGCUAAGAAGACCAACUUCUGAACACAAGGUGCACAGCUUGGGCUGCUUGGUCCUAACUUACUAACCAAUUCCUCUUUGCUCAGAGGGGUUCUAAAGUGUAAUCACUUGUUAAAGAGAUGUACUUUAACUGUUGCAUUCUAUUCCCUCAGUUCUUUUUAUGUGACGUUGGCUAGUCAAAUUUGAACUAGCCAGCAUCAUACAUAUAAAGAUGGAGGUGGUAUAACAAAAGGUAGCAAUUCAGUCAAGUGAAGGGAUUUGCUUAUAGAGGUUGCUCACACACCAUGUCGGAAAACAGUCAAAGCUUUCAUUUUUACAAUCAGCAGCUUUUACAUGCCCAAAUGCCCAACAAUAAGAAAUUUCCAGCAUUUUAUAUUUAGCGACUUGAAUGGAUUAAAUCACCUUCUGUUGAUAAACAGAUAUUAAAUCCUGAGGGACAUAUAGUUUCCCUUCAUCACCUAGAACCGGGUCACAAACUGCAGAACAUUAGCAAACAGAUAUCAGUCAUUCGUAAUCAGUCUUGAGCUAUGACACAAUUGCCCUAUAAAAUUUGGUAGAGACAAAACACCAUAGAGAAGAAUAGAUAAUGAAAGAUGAGAAAAGAUUACCAUAUACAAGAUCAGGAUUGACUGAUCGUAAUUUGUCAACAACUUGUAGUACAGUAGUUAAAAAGGAAACAGAUCCAAUAUAACCUGAAUACCAUAAACAUCAUGUUACUUUUUGUUAAAACACACAAACCUUAUUUGGCAGUACAAAGGAGAUGGCUAACCGGUAUGCAUGCCAUUGUGAUGAAAACAUCACCAGAAACAGGAGAGCUUUUUUUUUCUUUGACAAAGGAUGGGAAAGUGUAAAAUGAAGAAGAAGUCAUUCACCUGUUAAUAAAUGGGUAUAAUGCAAUAAAUCGUUUUCCGCCAGCCCUUCAAUAAGAUCCCACAGCUGACUGCCGUUGAGGACCUGUCCUCUAAAUGUUGGGUACCCUGGGAUAUGAAAUAACAGGGAAUUAUUCAGGUGUGUCAAAGAUUGCACGUGCGAUGUUGAACGAAGCGCAGCCCACCUCUACCUGUAUGAUUAGAAAACUGUACCGAGUU